rnacentral:rRNA from 1 species
UACGUAGGGGGCAAGCGUUGUCCGGAUUUAUUGGGCGUAAAGAGCGUGUAGGCGGCCAGGUAGGUGGGUUGUGAAAACUGGAGGCUCAACCUUCAGACGUCGACCCAAACCCCCCUGGCUAGAGUCCGGAAGAGGAGAGUGGAAUUCCUGGUGUAGCGGUGAAAUGCGCAGAUAUCAGGAAGAACACCCGUGGCGAAAGCGGCUUCCUGGACCAGAACUGACGAUCAGGCACGAAAGCGUGGGUAGCGAACAGG